UUUAUUUUUCCUCAAUAGUAACAAGAGUUGUAGGAAAAGUAUUAUUUUAUUUAUGAAAACUCACAAUGCUGAAAUGCUUAUAGAUCCUAAACAUUCAUUUUGUAAGAGUAUUUACAUUUGUAAGAAUUAUAUAGCCUAAAAAUGGAAUGUACAAUACAGGUCCAAUACAAGUCCUUUAAAACUGGCCCUCUACCAAGCAUGCACUGGUCUCCUUUCUUUAAUUUCCCUAUAAUUUCCUGUCAGUCUGUUUAUCAUCUCUCAUUUCAAAAAUCAAGCCGCCCGAGUGGCCACACUUGGAACAUGGCGGAUGUUAACUCUGGGCACAGAGUUCAGUUCCUGGGCUCAGUCUUCUGAGCCACCUGACAAUCAGAAGAACAGAAGAGCCGCUUUUACAGAACUAUCCAGCAAAGAGAGCCAAGCAGCCGGAGAUGACCAGAACACUGCAGAAUGUAGCAAAUAUGACACCGUGGUAGAGCUGGUGAGGCCCAGAGACCUGAGGAACACUGAUAUCAUCAGCGCCCAUGAAAUGUGUCAAGAUCAGAUAGCACCAUGGGAAGAGAGGAAAAUAUUCUUGAAAGAUACAGAGAUCUAAGAACAGUCCUGUGAUUGAAAACUGAUUUCCUUUGUGCAGCAUCUUCCACUUGGCAACGUGUGUGUGCAUGUCUUGAAUCCUUUCCACUGCAGUGCCCUAGGGUGUUGUAGAAUGGAGCUCUGGUAUGCCACACAUCCAGAGAUUAGCUCAACAGCCUGGAGUCUGUCAUGAGAUUUUGUGCCUCUGGGUCUGGACUGACUGCAUGCACACAGAAAAUCCUUCACACUUACUGACCGUAAUGCCUUGAGCUUCACAUCUGGACAUGCUGGAUACUUUUCUUUCAAGAAUCUUUCCUUCUUUGGAGAGGUGGAGAUGCCCUGGGUGGAGUCACGUUUUGCCUAUAUGUCGAGACCACAUAUAAAGAUCAGCUAAUUUAAUGUUAAUUGAUUGUAAUUCUAACUGUAAUGUUUUAAUUAAGAUUUAAAACUAAACUUAAAAAGGUUUCUGUGAGUGAAUAUAAAAUAUAAUUGGCUAAAUAUAAAAACAACACCAAAAAAUAUUGUAUGUAAUAUAUAAUAAUAUAUAAAUAUAUAAUGUGAUUACAUAAUGAUAUGAUACAACAUGAUUUGAAGCUAAUACAAGGAGCAUAUUUCAAAAUGUGACCUUGUAGUUGUGAUUAAUAACACAUAUGCUUAUCUUGAAUGUCUUAUUCAUUUUUCCCCUUAACCUUCAAAACUAUGAAAAUGUGUAUUUGCGACCGAGAAUAUGAUGCAUAACAAUAACUAAACAAAGGCACAUAAUGCAGCUUGAUAAUUUGAUGACUUAGAACAAUAGGCAACCAGAAAUUCGCUUAUGCUUUUGUGUAAUGAUGCCACUGAUUGUACAUUUUUAUGUUGUUAUAAGCAAUUCAAAAAUCUUAUAGGAUUCAAAUUUAGAAACAAUGAAGAGCUUUUGCUUGGCGCUUUUACUUCAUUCUAGUCAAAUGCAUGCUAUUCAAACAAUAAGACAAACCGUACUGAAUAAAUAUCAUUCAUUGAUGAUCA
ensembl:lncRNA